rnacentral:misc_RNA from 1 species
AAGGAGGAGGGGCGCCACCACGCGGUCUGCCAUUCCGGCGACAGCGGCAAGAUCCUUGGUGGCUGCCAGUAGUGCUGUCUGCUCUUCUCCCGCGGGCCACUACUGUGUCUGUGUGCCUCUGUUAGUCUUUUUGACACAGUGACUGACGAAAGCCUAACAAAUCGUAUAAGUGAGACAUGAGUGGUCUGUGGGAAGCCGCGUCUAAGGGCGUAGCGGGGGCGAAGGAUACCGCAAGCACACUGGAGGCAGCGGCGGGGCGCGUGUCUGAGGGCACAGCUCAAGUGAUGGCAGGUGGGAAGAGUGUGAUGACCUCAGCCGUUGAAGGAGCGGAGGGCGUGGCAUCAUCCGUCACCGAGGGUGCCCGACUUGUGGGAUCUGCGGUAGACACGGCGGGAAGUGCCCUACAGCAGACCAGGGGCGCUCUCGGUAACCUGUCCCUACCCGUCACCGCAGAGGCCAAGCCGAAAAGCAUGUUGGAGGAGUACGCCCCGGUAAUGGGUGGCGUGGUGGCGGCGGCGGCGGUGGUGGCUGCUACCUACUACCUGACGCGCCCGCCCUCAGUGCCGCCCAUGGUAGACCUUAACGAGCAGAGCCACCUGGUGAAGGAGGGGAGCGAACUGAUCAGAGUGUCCAAGCUGUCCAAGGAGGCAAAGGAGACCAAAUUCAUGAAGUAUGUGUACGAGGACACCCGCACUCUCUACGAUGUGUUCCGGCGAGGGGUGAGGGAAUCAAAUAAUGGCCCUUGCCUGGGUUACCGCGAGGGACCUGGCAAGCCGUACCAAUGGCUGCAUUACAAUGAGGCUCUCCUGAGGGCUAAGAACUUUGGGGCAGGUCUGGUUUCCUUGGGCCUUCCUCCAGGGCCUGACACCUUCGUGGGUAUCUACUCUCAGAACUGUCCGGAGUGGAUCCUGACAGAGCAGGGCUUGUAUUGCCAAUCCAUGGUGAUUGUGCCGCUGUAUGACACCUUGGGGCCAGAAGCCUGCAACUUCAUCAUCAACCAGGCUUCCAUCACAACGGUGGUGUGCCAAGAUGACCGCAAGAUGGCUCAGGUGCUGCAGAGUCCCCCCAAGUGUUUGAAGAUACUCAUCGCAAUAAGGGACAUCAGCGCUGAGACCUCCGAGCGGGCCAAGAAGUUAGGCAUUACCAUAAAAUACUUUGAGGAAGUGGAAACCAUGGGUGCAGCCAGCCAGCUUCCUGAACUACCACCAAGGUCUGAUGACCUCUGCACCAUAUGCUACACCUCCGGUACGACUGGCAACCCAAAGGGCGUUAUGCUUACUCAUGAAAAUAUAGUUGCUGAUGUGUCGGCAACUCUUCUGCAGCUGGCGGAACACAAGCCACACAAGAGUGAUGUGUUGCUAUCCUUCCUUCCACUGGCACACAUGCUUGAGCGUUGCUGUGAGGUUGCCGUGUACAUUGCUGGUGGUGCUGUAGGCUUCUAUUCGGGAGACAUUCGGAAUCUUGUUGACGACUACAAGGCGCUGCGUCCGACCAUUACCCCGUCCGUCCCUCGUCUCCUCAACAGAGUGUACGAUAAGGUCACAUCUGCAGUGAAUGGAUCUGCAGUAAAGAAACUUAUGUUGAAAAUGGCAUUGGCAAGCAAAAAAUCAGAACUUGAGAGGGGUGUGAUAAGAAGAACCUCCAUAUGGGACAAGCUUGUGUUCAAGAAGGUUCAGGAGGGCAUGGGGGGCCGCCUGAGGUUAUUGGUGGUGGGGUCAGCGCCCCUGGCUGGCAACGUCCUUACCUUCAUGAGGGCUGCACUUGGCUGUGUGAUUGUUGAGGGCUAUGGACAGACUGAGUGUGGGGCUCCUGCCACCUUAACCAUCCAGGGUGACUACAAGCCAGACCACGUGGGUCCUCCCAUCGCCUGCAAUGCAAUCAAGCUGGUCGAUGUCCCAGACAUGGAUUAUUUUGCAUCUCAGGGACAAGGUGAAGUGUGUAUCAAGGGCACCAAUGUGUUCAAGGGUUACUUCAAGGACCCAGACAAGACUCGAGAAACACUGGACGCUGCGGGGUGGCUCCACACAGGCGACAUUGGCCAAUGGCUGCCUAAUGGCACAUUAAAAAUAAUUGACCGCAAGAAGCACAUAUUCAAGCUCUCACAAGGUGAAUACAUCGCACCGGAGAAAAUAGAAAAUAUAUAUGUUAGAUCACAAUAUGUAUCCCAAGUGUUUGUGCACGGAGAGAGUCUCAAGUCAAGUGUGGUGGCUAUCGUGGUGCCGGAGGUGGAGUCUGUGAAGGGGUGGGCCCGGGAGCAGGACAUCCCCGGCACGCUGUCUGUGCUCUGUGCCAACCCACAUGUCAAGCAGCUAAUAAUGGAUGACAUCACCAACCUCGGCAAGGCAGCUGGUCUCAAAUCCUUUGAGCAGGCUAAGGACAUCUACCUUCAUCCAGAUCUGUUCAGCGUGCAGAAUGGCCUCCUCACCCCAACCCUCAAGUCCAAGAGGCCACAACUCAAAAAGUAUUUCACCCCACAAAUUGAUGACAUGUAUGCCAAGCUUCCCUAGAGCUCUGGCCGAGGUCACCUAGCAUAUUUGUUACUUAAUGAAAUGGUGAAUGUGUGUGUGUGUGUGUGUGUGUGUGUGUGUGUGUGUGUGUGUGUUUUGAGUGUAAGAAGUUGAAAAGUGGAAGAGUGAGUUUUGAAUGAGUGGAAGUGUUUGACUUGUGCCUCAUAUUACCUGUAUUAGACAAUAUGUUAUGUUGAAAGUAGGAAAGAUUCUCAUCAUUAUUUAUUUGAAGUACAUAAUUAUGGUUAUGCUUGGGAGAUUGUUAUAAAACACAUUCAUAGUGAAUACCAAUGGUUCACUAGCUUUGACAUGGUUGUAAUAUUAUAGGUCAAAACAAGUGAAAAUUUAUAAGUGUAAGUAGGAAGGUCACCUUCUAUAAAUAGUUUGCAGUGGUUAACACAUUUAUCUACAACAGCUUCAAUGUUUUAAUGUAUGGCUUAUAAAUUUUUCUGAGCUUCAUUGUAAAAUUGGAAAAAAAUGUCACUUAUUAAGGAAACCCAUGUAAAGUUUUUAUGAAUAAAUGCCAGCUGUUUAGGUGCCAGAAUGCAAGUGUUCAUUGAAAAUUUUGAAAUAUUAUGUCAAGUUUACUCCAGUUUCCAUAGAUUUUGUAAUGUGCAAUAAAACUAAUAAUGUAAUAAUUCAUAUAUGACUAUAAAUUUAAAGUGAUCAAAUCCAAACACAUACACACAUAUACAUGUACACACACACACACACACACACACACACACACACACACACACACACACACACACACACACACACACACACAUGCACCAUGAUUUUGUAAUCUUCCAACUUAGACAUUUUCAAAGUUAUGAAUAGAUAACUACAAAUAAUGAAUAGAUUUUAAAAUUCUCUAUUUUGGAAGAUACAUCCCAGUUUUGGAAGGACAAUUUAAUGAAAAGAGUUGUCUUCCAUCAUCUGUCAUCUGUACUGAAUCCAUGUCACUCAAUACACAUGCAGUUAUGCAGAUAAAUGCUACUGCUGCCUCACAUUCCCUGCCAGGGCUUUAUACUGAACAGCUGUAUGGGGAGCUUGGCUUCUAAACAUAAAGGCAACUUACUUGUGAUAACUGAGGCACCAUGAAGCCACACUAAGAAUGCUCUUAUACUUAGACAGAAUACAAGGCCAUACUAACUUUAAAUAGAUCAGUUUCAUUGGUGACCACCGUGAGGAACCAAAAACCUCAGGUCACCCAAGGCAGCUUCACAACAAUCAUAGCAUUUGUAACGCUAUUUACUUUUUCCCAUUGAUCAACCUCCCUGUGAUGGCUGACAUUUUGGUGAAAGUUACUUUGUUCUUGCCAAAAGUUUUUUCUAAGUCAAACAAUUUUUAUUAAUGUAGAUAAAGGGGAAAUUUCAUUUGCAUUUUGGUGAUGCCUUAAAUCCCUUAGUACUUUUACAUAUUAUCUAUUGAUAUACAGUAUAUCUGCAUGUUUGUCAUACAAUACCUAUGUCACAAAUCUAUUAUAUAUAGUAUUUUUCAUGUUUCAUGACAUUUUAAGGAUGUCAUUUAUACUCAACAAAAUGUGUCCUGACAAACAUGAUGUAUUUGUCAAGAAAAUAUCUGAUUUACAUGUUCUUUUUUUUUUUAUAUUUUUUGAAGAACUUAAAUGAUUCAUAAAUUGUGGUUAACCUGUAAGCACACACACACACACACACACACACACACACACACACACACACACACACACACACACACACACACACACACACACACACACACACACACACACACACACACACACACACACACACACACA